AUAUCAAUAAGCGGAGGAAAAGAAACCANCAGGGAUUGCCUCAGUAACGGCGAGUGAAGCGGCAAAAGCUCAAAUUUGAAAUCUGGCUCUUUCAGGGUCCGAGUUGUAAUUUGUAGAAGAUGCUUCGGGUGUGGUCCCGGUCUAAGUUCCUUGGAACAGGACGUCAUAGAGGGUGAGAAUCCCGUAUGUGACUGGGUACCUACGCUCAUGUGAAGCUCUUUCGACGAGUCGAGUUGUUUGGGAAUGCAGCUCAAAAUGGGUGGUAAAUUUCAUCUAAAGCUAAAUAUUGGCCAGAGACCGAUAGCGCACAAGUAGAGUGAUCGAAAGAUGAAAAGCACUUUGGAAAGAGAGUUAAACAGUACGUGAAAUUGUUGAAAGGGAAGCGCUUGCAAUCAGACUUGCGCCUAGUUGAUCAUCCGGGCUUCUGCCCGGUGCACUCGAUUAGGCUCAGGCCAGCAUCGGUUUGGGUGGUUGGAUAAAGGCUUGGGGAACGUAGCCUCCUUCGGGGGGUGUUAUAGCCCCAGGUGCAAUGCAGCCCACCUGGACCGAGGACCGCGCUUCGGCUAGGAUGCUGGCGUAAUGGUUGUAAGCGA
rnacentral:rRNA from 1 species